AGUCCCAGAACUCUUUCUGGUAACUCCCUUAUCGAUCACCCUAGCCCUCCUUCUAGCCCUACUGGUCAACGCUUGGGUCCCAGAACUCUUCCCUGUGAUUCCCUUAUCCGUUCUCCUGUUCCUCCUCCUAGCCCUCCUUGCCAACGCUCUGGUCCCAGAACUCUUUUCUGUGACUACCCUGUCUGUCCCCCUACUCCUCCUCCCAGCCCUACUUGCAAAUGCUGUCGUCCCAGAGCUGUUUCCUGGGACUCCUCUACCUAUGCCUCUACCCCUCCUCCUUAGCCCUACUUCUUUCUAGUACCCUGUACUCUAGUCCCCAGCCCCCAGCCCUGCCAUCCCCAACCAGACCUUAUGGUUCACAAGUCUCAUCUUGGAGAUGGUUUCCCUGCUCCCGGGGCAGUUCUGGAACAGUUCAGGAUGGCCAGGACUGUGGAUUCCCAGCAGUCUGACCUCGUGGACAAAGGAAAUGCAAGACGAUGGCAAACCAGCAUUCAGCCUCACCAGCCUGCAUGAGCCUCUACAUUUGUUCCUGGCUUCUCCAUGGAACUCGGUCUACAGCCACAAAGCAAACCACAGGGCCAGUGACAGAGAAGGCAGAGGGGAGUGUGGAGUGGGAAGCACCUAACCUGUUCUCAAGGAGGGGAAUGAUUGGCCAAGAUGAGUUUCAAUCGUAUGUCCACUACCUCCUGGCCUGCCACUUGGCUGUGAGUCCUUUCUGGGCGGUGUCCAGGGGCGGUUCCAGUGAUCAGGCAGGUGCUGAGAAGCACAGGCAGCAGGAUGAGGGGAUACUUGCCAGGAGACAGCAUGGGAUGCCAUUGCCUAGAGUUGGCAGAAGGACCAGGAGCAGGCAGGCAGCGAGAGAACACCCAGAGUGCUCCUGAUCGGACCAAGCUGCAUGGAGGCCACAAUGGGACACCUGAGGGAAAAGGUGACCCCAGAUGAGGUCCAUCGGAACCAGAUAUUGUGGGAACUGUCAAACCAGACCAAGAAGUAUGGAGGCCACAGAGGGACACCCCAGGGAGGUGACCCUGGAUGAGGUUCAUCAGAACUAGAUCUUGUGAGAACUACCUGACCAGACCAAGCAGCACAGAGGCCACGGUGAGACACCUGAGGGAGAAGGCGAACCCAGAUAAGGCUCAUCGGGUUCCGAUCUUGUGAGAACUGCAGAAGGCGACCACAGAUGAGGCUCAUCAGAACUAGAUCUUGUGAGAACUGCCUGAGCAGACCAAGCAGCACAGAGGCCACAGUGAGACACAUGAGGGAGAAGGUGAACCCAGAUGAGGCUCAUCAGGAACAGAUCUUGUGGGAACCAGAGAGGACAACCCCGGAUGAGGUCCAUCAGAACCAGAUCUUGUGGGAACUGCACUUCAAAGUGCUACAGACCCACAAACACUACAUGCAGCAUCACAUGAAUGCCCUCUGCAAGGGUGAGGGGCCUGGCAGGAUGGAGGAAAUACCAGAGAGGGGGGAUGCGCCCUGAAAAAAAGGAGAGCCCUGGGGACUGCGGAAGGUGGAGUGUGCGUCUCAUUAAAGGAGAAGAUACCUUCUCACACCCUACCUCCUUUUAUAGACUUUAGGAGCAAUGUCUUUGGAGGGGGCCUCACCUACAUCACAUCAGAUGCAUUAAAUAUAUUAAAAAGCAUUCACAUCUCAUGAAA
rnacentral:lncRNA from 1 species